AGGAUUAUAGUUUAAAAAAAAACUUUUGAUUUGCAUUCAAAAAAUAUUAUAUAAAUAAUUUUU
rnacentral:tRNA from 2 species